CAGAGAGUAGUUUAAGUUAAAAUAUUAAUUUUGGGGAUUAAUGAUAGAGGUAUCUUUCUCUCUGA
rnacentral:tRNA from 1 species